UACAGAGGUCCCAAGCGUUACUGAGAAUCACUGGGUUUAAAGGGUGCGUAGGUGGUCCGUUAAGUCAGUUGUGAAAUCCCCGGGCUCAACCCGGGAACUGCUUCUGAUACUGGCGGACUUGAGGCCAGUAGGGGUCACUAGAACUGACGGUGGAGCGGUGAAAUGCGUAGAUAUCGUCAGGAAUGCCGGUGGUGAAGACGGGUGACUGGGCUGGUUCUGACACUGAGGCACGAAAGCGUGGGGAG
rnacentral:rRNA from 1 species